rnacentral:rRNA from 1 species
CCACGGGGUAUGCUUAGUACGGCGAGUGAGCGGCAAAAGCUCAAAUUUGAAAUCUGGUACCUUCGGUGCCCGAGUUGUAAUUUGGAGAGGGCAACUUUGGGGCCGUUCCUUGUCUAUGUUCCUUGGAACAGGACGUCAUAGAGGGUGAGAAUCCCGUGUGGCGAGGAGUGCGGUUCUUUGUAAAGUGCCUUCGAAGAGUCGAGUUGUUUGGGAAUGCAGCUCUAAGUGGGUGGUAAAUUCCAUCUAAAGCUAAAUAUUGGCGAGAGACCGAUAGCGAACAAGUACAGUGAUGGAAAGAUGAAAAGAACUUUGAAAAGAGAGUGAAAAAGUACGUGAAAUUGUUGAAAGGGAAGGGCAUUUGAUCAGACAUGGUGUUUUGUGCCCUCUGCUCCUUGUGGGUAGGGGAAUCUCGCAUUUCACUGGGCCAGCAUCAGUUUUGGUGGCAGGAUAAAUCCAUAGGAAUGUAGCUUGCCUCGGUAAGUAUUAUAGCCUGUGGGAAUACUGCCAGCUGGGACUGAGGACUGCGACGUAAGUCAAGGAUGCUGGCAUAAUGGUUAUAUGCCGCCCGUCUUGAACCCCCGGGACCA